CCUACGGGAGGCAGCAGUGAGGAAUAUUGGUCAAUGGGCGCGAGCCUGAACCAGCCAAGUAGCGUGAAGGAUGACUGCCCUACGGGUUGUAAACUUCUUUUAUCAAGGAAUAAAGUGAGGCACGUGUGCCUUUCUGUAUGUACUUUAUGAAAAAGCAUCGGCUAACUCCGUGCCAGCAGCCGCGGUAAUACGGAGGAUUCGAGCGUUAUCCGGAUUUAUUGGGUUUAAAGGGGGCGUAGAGGGGUUGUUAAGUCAGUUGUGAAAGUUGGGGGCUCAACCGUAAAAUUGCAAUUGAUACUGGCAGCCUUGAGUACGGUAGAGGUAGGCGGAAUGCGUGGUGUAGCGGUGAAAUGCAUAGAUAUCACGAAGAACUCCGAUUGCGAAGGCAGCUUACUAAACUGCCACUGACAUUGAUGCUCGAAAGCGUGGGGAUCAAACAGGAUUAGAUACCCCUGUAGUC
rnacentral:rRNA from 1 species